rnacentral:rRNA from 1 species
UACAGAGGGUGCAAGCGUUAAUCGGAAUUACUGGGCGUAAAGCGUGCGCAGGCGGUUAUGUAAGACAGGUGUGAAAUCCCCGGGCUUAACCUGGGAACUGCAUUUGUGACUGCAUAGCUAGAGUACGGUAGAGGGGGAUGGAAUUCCGCGUGUAGCAGUGAAAUGCGUAGAGAUCAUGAGGAAGACCAGUGGCGAAGGCGGGUCUCUGGACAGUUCCGUGACACUGAGGCACGAAGGCCAGGGGAGCAAACGGG